rnacentral:rRNA from 1 species
GACGAACGCUGGCGGCGUGCUUAACACAUGCAAGUCGAACGAUGAAGCUGGAGCUUGCUCCGGUGGAUUAGUGGCGAACGGGUGAGUAACACGUGAGCAAUCUGCCCUUGACUCUGGGAUAACUGCGGGAAACUGUAGCUAAUACCGGAUAUGAGGCUCGAAGGCAUCUUCGGGUCUGGAAAGAAUUUCGGUCAAGGAUGAGCUCGCGGCCUAUCAGCUUGUUGGUGAGGUAAUGGCUCACCAAGGCGACGACGGGUAGCCGGCCUGAGAGGGUGAACGGCCACACGGGGACUGAGACACGGCCCAGACUCCUACGGGAGGCAGCAGUGGGGAAUAUUGCACAAUGGGCGAAAGCCUGAUGCAGCAACGCCGCGUGAGGGAUGAAGGCCUUCGGGUUGUAAACCUCUUUUAGCAGGGAAGAAGCGAAAGUGACGGUACCUGCAGAAAAAGCACCGGCUAACUACGUGCCAGCCGCCGCCGUAA